UGACAUCCACGGAAGUUUUCAGAGAUGAGAAUGUGCCUUCGGGAACCGUGAGACAGGUGCUGCAUGGCUGUCGUCAGCUCGUGUUGUGAAAUGUUGGGUUAAGUCCCGCAACGAGCGCAACCCUUAUCCUUUGUUGCCAGCGGUCCGGCCGGGAACUCAAAGGAGACUGCCAGUGAUAAACUGGAGGAAGGUGGGGAUGACGUCAAGUCAUCAUGGCCCUUACGACCAGGGCUACACACGUGCUACAAUGGCGCAUACAAAGAGAAGCGACCUCGCGAGAGCAAGCGGACCUCAUAAAGUGCGUCGUAGUCCGGAUUGGAGUCUGCAACUCGACUCCAUGAAGUCGGAAUCGCUAGUAAUCGUGGAUCAGAAUGCCACGGUGAAUACGUUCCCGGGCCUUGUACACACCGCCCGUCACACCAUGGGAGUGGGUUGCAAAAGAAGUAGGUAGCUUAACCUUCGGGAGGGCGCUUACCACUUUGUGAUUCAUGACUGGGGUGAAGUCGUAACAAGGUAACCGUA
rnacentral:rRNA from 1 species